rnacentral:misc_RNA from 1 species
UUGGCCGGAGAACUGACAUGU